UGUCAUAUUAGUUCAAAGUUAGAAAAGCACAGUUGCCCUGGUUUAAGUGGGGGUGGGCCUGAAAUCCUCCCACUGGGCAUCUUCGCUGUCCUCCCAGUAGCCUCUGAGGUUCCCCUGCGGAAGCUGGGUGUUCCUAGGAGCACAGUUUUAAAACCACUGGACUAGAGGGUCUCUAAGAGCCCUUCCAGCUCCAGGCUUCUCUGCACUUGUGAUCCUGCUUGUCAGGUUGUUUUGGGCCUGUCCCUGAUUCUGUGGGACCAGGCCUAGUCCCCAUCAGCCAAGCCUCUGAAAAUGCUAACUUGAAAACUUGACCAGAUUUCAGGGUCAGGGAAGGGGACAGAUUUUGAAAAUUAAUUCAGCUCUGACAUAUUGAAUGUGACCAGUCCUGUGUGGAGAUUAUAGAGGUAAGUAAGAUAAACUAUCUGCCCCAAGAAACUCACCAGCUGGAAUGGAAAACAGGAAAUCCCACAGAUGACAACAUACAAGGUGUAGAGAGGCUCGGGUUCAGGGCCCCUCCUUGCCUUUCUUCCAUGUACCCCUUAGCCAGUGGUUCGCAAACCUUUCUGAUAUCAGGCCAUCUAAUGAGCUUUAAACCAUGCAGAUUCCCAGAUGCCUCCUAUGGAGAUUCUCAUUCAGUUAGCUGGGAGAGAGCCUGAGGAUCUGUAGUUAGAAAACCCCCUAGGCGGAUUGAUGAGCUGCUGGGUUUGGGGCCCUUGGGAUCCCCCACCCCAACCCCCAAGUCUCCUCAGCCAUCUAACCUCCACAAGCUUGGCUGCCCAUCCUUGGGUUAACUCCUUAUUGUCUCAGAAAACCUUUCUUGGGCUGAGCUGUUGAUCUGUGAAAUCAUUUAUUGGCCUGAAAAUAUCCCAAGAAUAUAUCCAACACUGUCAAAAACAUUCUUAUAAAACACCCAAAAUCUCAUUGAGGGAGAACCCUUACAGAUGGAAAUGAGUGUAGGGUAACAGGUGAACAGAUGGGACUUUAAAAUUCAUUCCAGAACCUAAAGAAAAUCAGACAUUUCCAAACAGAAGGAGAGAGAGAAGAGAAGAGUGAAUCUUAUGGGAAUAAAUGGAAGAGAACUCACUGCAAUUGUUUCUUUGGAAAGGACAAAGCAUCUCACCCAGAAGCUGAAGGAAAAUUUGGAAGCUGCCUGUUUUGGAUUCCCAUUGUUCCUCCAGAGAGCCCACAAAACAGCUCCAAGCCUGUUUUUCUCCCAAAUAGCUAAGUCUGAAAUGCCCCAUUGCCACCUGCCACACAGACCCCUCCUAGCAGUGAGUGACCGUUUUGGAGAGGGUCCUUGACUCCUGGGGUAACUUCUAAAUAAAUAUACCUACUGAAGGCUGGAGGAAAGUCUUUUGCUUCAGGGAAGAUGCCACUGGGACAUUUCUCCUUCUCUUUUGCAAUCAAGGUAGAGCUAGAAAGAACCUUGAAAUUUAAUAUCUCAACCCUUAUUGUAUGGGGGAACCAGAGGCCUCUCUCCUCCAGCUCGGGCUAUAGAGUUCAGUCAGGAGCUGACCAGGUAGGAAGUCUCUCCCAGAGUCACCAAACCCAUGCUGGGCAGGACAAGGACAAUCAAGAUUGUCUUCUCACCAGGGGUUCGGGGAUCAGGAGGGUGGCAUCUCCCUGCCAGAGGCCCCUCUCCCAGCCACCAAGGACCAAACCCAGCUCUUCCAAGACCCUCCUGCCGGGGGGUGAGGGGUGGGCUCUAGAUCACCUGACCUAUUAUGGUUGCCAGGCUUGGUUCUUGCUUUGUGCUUUUGCCUUUUGAGGACGCCCUGCCCAGCGCCACCUCAGGGCUUGGGCUCUGGAGGAGUGCUCUUCACUGAAACAGCCCUGAGGGCCUAGCACCCCUCUUCCUGAGUGGAUAGAGCGCCGGACUGAUGUUGGAGAGCUGGGUUCCUGUGUUCUGUGCCGCUGGGCUGGCGGCAGUUCUGGCCUACACAGAGCUCUUCCCUGACAGCCUCCGGGAUGUGGUAUCCAGCUCCAACGUUGAUUCCCACCCUGCAGGCACCUGACUUUAGCCCUCUCUUACCUGAGAAGGAUACCUCUAUCGGUUUACUCCCACCUCUGGGAACUGAAUAGGGGGCAGAUUCCAGACAAAGGAGGCUGGGCCUCCAAACCAACUUCGCCUCCUUGACUGCGUGGCCCAGCCCAGCCCUGUUUGCCUUCAGCCAUGUGCAGUGAGAGGGCGUUCACUGCCCUUGCACUCCCAGGCUCAGGAUAGAGGAAUAUUCCUUGUUUGAAGAAGGGAAGGCCAUCAGAUCCACACCUCAUGCUUGUAAGCUUAACCUUGUCCUAAAAACCACUCUGGAAAAGGUCCAGGUUCUUCCAGCCAUUAGAGUGGGCCAUACGGAGCAGUCCUUUGCAUGAAAACGCAGAAGAGUCUCCCAGAAAAUAUUAACCCUAAGGUACUCCAGUCCCUGGAGUAAAAUGUUGCUUUGGGUUUGUCCCAAGUGACCACAAUUGAAAUGAAAGAAUAACUUGAAACAUAAAAAUGAGUUAAUGCCUACAAAAAUAAAACACUUCUCA